rnacentral:lncRNA from 1 species
AGUCGUCUAUGAGAAGGACAAUGGAAGAUCUCGAGGUUUUGGAUUCGUUACUUUUGAAACUGCUGAGGAUUUACAGGCUGCUUUGAAGGCUAUGAACGGCGUGGUAAGAACAAUUUCGGGAGAUUAGUUUUGCGAUCUCAUGUUAGUCUUAUGAUAUUUCAGUCUAACUAUAUAACCACAUUCCUUGCAAUAUUUUUAGGAGGUUCAGGAUCGGCCGCUGCGAUUGAAUUUGGCUGCAGAGAGGAAACCUUCUUCUCCUCCUCCAGUAAUUAAGGAAAGUACAGCAAGCAAUGUUGAUAGUUCACCUUCAUCUCCUCCUCCAGUAAUUGAGGAAAGUACAGCAAGCAAUGUUGAUAGUUCACCUUCAUCUCCUCCUCCAGUAAUUGAGGAAAGUACAGCAAGCAAUGUUGAUAGUUCGGAAUUGGUGUCUAGCGCAAGUGCAUAAGAAAAUAUGUUUGAUCAAAGUUUUGCCUGCAAAAUGCACAUCAUUUAGCUUUUCUUUUCUCUAAACUAUAUUAUCUGUCAAAGUGACUUGUACACUAGAUUUUCAGACAGUUGUGAGAUCUAUCACCAUAUGAGGGGCUUAAUGUCCAUUAUAUGGUUCGUAAUUGUGAAGAACAACCUUCCAGAACUUUGAUGGGCUAAGAUUUAUUCAAGGGACGAUUUAUUUAAAUAUACGCUUCAUGGAGGGUGUAAACGCGUUGGAAAUGAAUGCAAAAUGAUUUUUCCAUUUUUAUGAGUAUAAUCUCAAAUGGGGGGGGAGAAGUCUAAACAAAGGCGAAGUCCACGGAAGCAUAAAAUUACACGAUUUGAACUGUGUGAUUAGGUUACCACAGAAACCAUAGGUACAAUCCAAGGCAAUAGAGAACCGGGUCGAAACAAAACCAUGACCGGCAUGAGACUCAUUAACAAAAACAUAGUUGCCCAUUGAAUCUUGGCUUCUCCUAGUAAGGUUUUUUAUAUUACCUGUUUGGUUAACAUAGAAACAACAAUCUGUCCAUCACAUACUUUGGCAGAACUGCCAAACAAUUUCAGUUUCACUUCAAAGAUGCUAUAUAUACGCUCUUCCAAGAAAAUGUUGGAUGGAGUAGCUGAGCAUCUAAACAGGUUUGAAUAACAGCAAAGAGAAGAGCCAAACCAUCAACACGUUUGUCAUCUGUUUUUUAUGCAGAAUUAUUGCCAGCUAGAAGAGCAUCAGCUGCAGAAUCCAUGUCGUGCGGGAAAAACAUCCUGCAAAGCAGUAUUUUCCUUAGAGCUCCAGACUAUAUAAUAGAUAAGCAACACACACGAUAGUAUACUAAAAGAAUCAAUUUUUAUGCGAAUCAAACACCAGCUUAUUAGGUAAACAGCAUGUCAUUCAAUUCAUUUCAUUCUAUAUACUAGUAGUUUAGGUCUAGGUUCAAAACAGUCCACCAGUAAAAACUCUU